GAGUGUUGGCCUAUUACCGACCCUUUAGUCGUCUCUAUAGUUUCCAUGAGAUGUCGCCGUCUUCCUCUAGGCUUCAUGGUUUAUCGUAUCCUCGAUGCUUUGAUUAGUUCCAGUAACAAUGGUGUUUCUGAAUGUAGUGGUCAAAGUUCAAUUUCGUCGUUUUGUCUAUGGUUUUUACUCAUCGGUGACGUUACUGGAUUUCUUCAUUCAAUGAUUAUCAUUAACGCUUUCACUAACGCCCCCUUCCCACUCCUUACACGGUUACUUCUUUCUUCCAUGUGGCUCGAUUCUGUUUCUCUAUGGGCGACACUGAUGAUCUGAACAUUACUCCGAAGAGCACUAAGAAGCUUUGUACUUGAAAGAGGAGAUGAUAUCUUUGUUGGGCAAUGCCAAUACAUAUUCACGGGUACUGAAACAACUUCAGUUUCGCCAGAGUGGCGGAACCAAUUCCAUGACCACGUCGAACUCUGUCAUGACCACAGUCAUAGAUAUUGAUGAUGAAGAAAUCUCUUAGAUCAUAAAUCAUCCUGCUGUUCAUCUGGAGAUGGGAAAGGAGGAUGAUGAAGCUGAGGUUUAGGAGGAUUAGAUGGUUGGGAAGGAGCCUGAUGCAUAGAAGAAAAGAGAACUGGAGGAGGAAGAGACUGAUAAUGCUGUGUACAAGGACUUCAAAACUGCUAUUAAUCAUUAAUCCUAAAAGGAUCAGAUAUCAAUGAGAGAGAUACAGAAACAAGAAGAGGUGAAGCGUUAAAAGAGAGAAGCUGCUGAGGCAGAGUAGAAGAGCAUAGAUGAAUUAGAAAACUUUUUUAUGUAAUGUGUCUCAAACAAUUGUUGAAGAUAUAAUGAUCAGGUUUUGCAACCGUUAA